rnacentral:lncRNA from 1 species
GUUGGGGUCCCUAGGGUGCUGGGUGACCUGGUGGCCAUGUCCUUGGGGUGCUGGGGGUCCUUGGGGUUCUGGGGUGACCUGGUGGCCAGGUCCUCGUGGUGCUGGGUGACCUGGUGGCAGGGUCCCCGGGGUGCUGGGUGUCCCCGGGGCGCUGGGUGACCUGGUGGCAGGGUCCUCGGGGCGAUGGGGUCCCCGGGGGGGGCUCUGGGGGUCCCCGGGGUGCCGGGCUGUCCCGGCGGCUGGGUGCUGACGGCCGCGGCAGCGGGAGGCGCAGGUGAAGUUCCACGUGCUGCUCACCUCCUACGAGCUGAUCACCAUCGACCAGGCGGCGCUGGGCUCCAUCCGCUGGGCCUGCCUGGUGGUGGACGAGGCCCACCGCCUCAAGAACAACCAGAGCAAGUUCUUUCGGGUGCUCAACGGGUACAAGAUCGAGCACAAGCUGCUGCUGACGGGGACCCCGCUGCAGAACAACCUGGAGGAGCUCUUCCACCUCCUCAACUUCCUCACGCCCGAGCGCUUCAAGUACGGCCCCACCGUCCCCUCCUGGCCCCCAGUGUCCCCUCCUGGUCCCCAUUGUCCCCUCCUGGCCCCCAGUGUCCCCUCCUGGUCCCCACUGUCCCCUCCUGGCCCCAUUGUCCCCACCAGACCCCCAGUGUCCCCUCCUGGCCCCCAGUGUCCCCUCCUGGCCCCCAUUGUCCCCUCCUGGCCCCCAGUGUCCCCUCCUGGUCCCCACUGUCCCCUCCUGGCCCCAUUGUCCCCACCAGACCCCCACCAUCCCCUCCUGGCCCCCCACAUCCCCAGUCCACCCUCCCGUCCCCCCGCAUCCUCCCGCAUCGCCCUGUGUCACCACUGUCCCUACGUCCCCGUGUGCUGGCUGUCCCCAUAUCCUGGCUGUCCCCAUGUCCUGGUUGUCACCGUGUCCCUAUGUCCUUGCUGUCCCUAUGUCCUCAUGUCCUGCCUGUCUCCGUGUCCCCUCGUCCUGGCUGUCCCCACAUCCUGGCUGUGUCCCUGUGUCCCCACGUGUCCCCAUGUCCCCAUGUCCUGUCCAUCCCCUUGUCCCCACGUCCUGGCUGUCCCCAUGUCCUCGCCAUCCUGGUGUCCCCACACCUUGGCCCUCCCCACAUCCCCCCCACCUCCCCCAACCCCUCGUAUCCCCACAUCCCCUCGCGUCCCCCCCCUUGUCACCGCCAUCCCCGCGCCCCCCUCCUCACCCCAACCACACCCCCCAGCCCCCUCCUCACGCCCCCCACACCCCCCUCCCCGCAGCAACCUGGAGGGCUUCCUGGAGGAGUUCGCCGACAUCUCCAAGGAGGACCAGAUCAAGAAGCUCCACGACCUGCUGGGCCCCCACAUGCUGCGGCGCCUCAAGGCCGACGUCUUCAAGAACAUGCCGGCCAAGACCGAGCUCAUCGUGCGCGUCGAGCUCAGCCCCAUGCAGAAGUACGGGCGCCGCGGGCAGGGAGGGGGUGGUCCAGGCACGUGGGGGGGGGGGCCCAGCGCCCCAGAAACAGCUCCUGGGAGCCCCGGGGGUCCCAGCACCACAAUAGCUGAUCCCGCUGGGCUUGGGGAGGGUCUCAGCACCCCAAUUCCAGGUCUCAGUACCCCAAUACCAGGUCCUAUCCACUUUGUGGGGGGGGUCCUCAGCACCCCAACACCCAGAGCCCACCGGCUUUGGGGGUCUCAGCACCCCAAUUCCAGCUUCCAGCACGCCAAUUU